CGUGCAGGCGGGUUGGUAAGUCAGAUGUGAAAGCCCUGGGCUUAACCCAGGAAGUGCAUUUGAAACUGCCAUCCUUGAGUAUGGGAGAGGGGAGUGGAAUUCCCAAUGUAGAGGUGAAAUUCGUAGAUAUUGGGAGGAACACCCGUGGCGAAGGCGACUCUCUGGACCAAUACUGACGCUGAGACGCGAAAGCGUGGGGAGCAAACA
rnacentral:rRNA from 1 species